rnacentral:rRNA from 1 species
GACGAACGCUGGCGGCGUGCUUAACACAUGCAAGUCGAACGGAAAGGCCCUGCUUUUGUGGGGUGCUCGAGUGGCGAACGGGUGAGUAACACGUGAGUAACCUGCCCUUGACUUUGGGAUAACUUCAGGAAACUGGGGCUAAUACUGGAUAGGAGCUCCUGCUGCAUGGUGGGGGUUGGAAAGUUUCGGCGGUUGGGGAUGGACUCGCGGCUUAUCAGCUUGUUGGUGGGGUAGUGGCUUACCAAGGCUUUGACGGGUAGCCGGCCUGAGAGGGUGACCGGCCACAUUGGGACUGAGAUACGGCCCAGACUCCUACGGGAGGCAGCAGUGGGGAAUAUUGCACAAUGGGCGGAAGCCUGAUGCAGCAACGCCGCGUGCGGGAUGACAGCCUUCGGGUUGUAAACCGCUUUCGCCUGUGACGAAGCGUGAGUGACGGUAAUGGGUAAAGAAGCACCGGCUAACUACGUG